ACGGGAGGCAGCAGUGAGGAAUAUUGGUCAAUGGGCGGAAGCCUGAACCAGCCAUGCCGCGUGAAGGAAUAAGGUCCUAUGGAUCGUAAACUUCUUUUGUUGUGGAGCAAUAAGGUCUACGUGUAGAUCGAUGAGAGUACACAGCGAAUAAGCAUCGGCUAACUCCGUGCCAGCAGCCGCGGUAAUACGGAGGAUGCAAGCGUUAUCCGGAUUUAUUGGGUUUAAAGGGUGCGUAGGCUGUUUGUCAAGUCAGUGGUGAAAGCCCGGAGCUCAACUCCGGAACUGCCAUUGAUACUGUCAAGCUGGAAUACAGAUGCCGUGGGAGGAAUGAGUAGUGUAGCGGUGAAAUGCAUAGAUAUUACUCAGAACACCGAUUGCGAAGGCAUCUCACGAAUCUGUCAUUGACGCUGAGGCACGAAAGCGUGGGGAUCAAACAGGAUUAGAUACCCUGGUA
rnacentral:rRNA from 1 species